rnacentral:rRNA from 1 species
CCUAUGGGGUGCAGCAGGCGCGAAAACUUCACACUGGGGGCAACCCCGAUGAGGGAAUUCCUAGUGCUAGCUCUUUUUGAGUUAGCUUUUCUUUAGCGUAGAUAACUAAAGGAAUAAGGGCUGGGUAAGACGGGUGCCAGCCGCCGCGGUAAUACCUGCAGCCCAAGUGGUGGCCGAUAGUAUUGAGUCUAAAACGUUCGUAGCCGGUCUGAUAAAUCUUUGGGUAAAUCGGGAAGCUUAACUUUCCGACUUCCGAGGAGACUGUCAGACUUGGGACCGGGAGAGGCUAGAGGUACUUCUGGGGUAGGGGUAAAAUCCUGUAAUCCUAGAAGGACCACCGGUGGCGAAGGCGUCUAGCUAGAACGGAUCCGACGGUGAGGGACGAAGCCCUGGGGCGCAAACGGGAUUAGAUACCCUCGUAGUCC